GGAGGGAGGUGCGGCCAAAGGCCUCGGAGGGGUGGAGGCCGGGCCGAGCAAGGCCUAGUAGUUGGUCCCUGGGGAGCUGAGGAGGUGGGAACAAAGAGGUUGAGUCCGGAGCUCCCUCAGGUGCGGAAGGCGGUCUUUGAGAAAUGCCCGCCGCUCAUUCUCACGUUCCUUCCUAGCAGGUCCGUGUCAGCGCCAUGCCCACCUCCGUGCCCCCAAGUAGCAGGCGGGGGGCAGCCUAUUCCACCCCACCCUCCCCUGCUAGCUCCGACGACGAGGGGGCCGGCAAGUCUUCCUCUUUCUCCCUGAUCUCUCCGAGUUUCCACGGAAGUUUCCACCGAACGAGGCAGGAGGAAGAGGCAACACCAGCUAGCAGGGGAUCAGGCAUCCCUCAAAGGAUUAAACAGCAUAGUGCAGACCAUUUUAAAGAUACAAAAAGGAAAACUCGGCCAAUUGUGGAAGAAAAUCUCUCGCCAUGGGAAGAGUGGUUCCUUUCCAAAGAGAAAGAGUUACGUGCUCGACUACAAGAACGAGCUAUGAAGGAGGUGAAUCAGGAAAAGGAGAAAAGGAGGGAAAAACAGGAACGCGAAAUAAAAAAAAAGCUGGCUGAAGAGAAGCACAAAGAAUGGGUCCAGAAAAAAAAUGAAGAGGUGAAAAGGGAAAAACGGGAAAGGGAACUUAAGCUCAGCAAAGAGAUGGCAGAAAAAGCAGCCAAAGAACUUGAGAGAGCACAAUCAAAGGAAAAGUCGCGAGAGAUGUAUCAGGAAUGGCUAAAGAAAAAGAAAAUGGAAGAAGGUCAGAAGAAGAAGGAAGAGAAGGAGAAGGAAAAACAACGGGAAGCUGAACUACAGGAGAAAAAAGAAAAAUCAGAGCAGAUGUUCAAAGAAUGGCUGCAAAAUUCCAAAACUAAGCCCCGCCAAGCAUCAGCUGGCUGUGCCUCUGCAGAUGGGAAAGAUACUGGCUAUCCAGAAGGAAGUACAUAUCCAGCUCCAGCCUUUUACAAUCCAGUCCCUUGGAAACCAGUUCAUGUGCCUCCUCCCAAGGAAGAAAAAGUUUCAGUCUCAACCAAAGUUCGCCUGUUUGGGAAUGAUGAAGACGUGCAUCGGACUUAAGGCUGUUAGUCACUAACUCCUCUGCUUCCCACAACAUAGCAUGCAUCAAAUAAAAAGAAGGCAUAGCACAGCAUUACAGACUAUUCGGCCUUGGUUGGUUGGAGUUUGCUACAAUUCAGCUGAACAGACAAAAGUUGGGAUUCUACUUCAACACACAGAUGAAGGGAUGGAAAGAUUUCGUCAUACUGGUCUGCAGAAUGUUCCUCUAAACUCAUCCCUAACAGCUUAGUUUAUUUUAUCCAGUUAAUGUGUGCUUCCCAGGUACAUUAUUCUUGCACUAAAAUACAGCUCAGUUGAUGCAAGCACAUCCUGAAAUGAAAGAAGGUGGUGCUCAGAUACCACCAUCUGGGCUUCCCCGCUCUUCCCAAUACUUGUAAAAUACGGAGGUGUAGGGAGCAUUUACAGUCUUACUGUUUCAAUAAGUGUGUGACUUAAUUCUGUCUUCUCCCUCAGAUUUCCUGAGGAGACAGGUACCUUAUUCUAUCUUAUCUGUAGAAUGUGUUGCAUCUGGAAAGAGGCCUGUGUAAAUCUCUAAAAAUUGCAGCUUCAGAACGAAAGCUCUUGCACAAUCUAAUCUGUAGCAUCACAAAUGCAAUUUUGUUCCCUCCUGAAUAAAGUUUUAGACAAGA